UACGUAGGGCGCAAGCGUUAUCCGGAAUUAUUGGGCGUAAAGAGCUCGUAGGCGGUUUGUCGCGUCUGCCGUGAAAGUCCGGGGCUCAACUCCGGAUCUGCGGUGGGUACGGGCAGACUAGAGUGAUGUAGGGGAGACUGGAAUUCCUGGUGUAGCGGUGAAAUGCGCAGAUAUCAGGAGGAACACCGAUGGCGAAGGCAGGUCUCUGGGCAUUAACUGACGCUGAGGAGCGAAAGCUAGGGUAGCAAACAGG
rnacentral:rRNA from 1 species